rnacentral:rRNA from 1 species
UUCCGGUUGAUCCUGCCAGAGGCGACCGCUUUUGGAGUUCGAUUAAGCCAUGCGAGUCGAGAGUCUUAGGGACUCGGCAUACUGCUCAGUAACACGUGGAUAACCUGCCCUAUCGUCUGGAAUAACCUCGGGAAACUGAGAAUAAGGCCGGAUAGUUCACAAUGCCUGGAACGGUUUGUGGAUAAAGGUAGGAUGGGUCUGCGGCGUAUCAGGUUGUAGGGGGUGUAACGGACCCCCUAGCCAUCGACGCGUACGGGUGUUGGGAGACAUAGCCCGGAGAUGGAUUCUGAGACACGAAUCCAGACCCUACGGGGUGCAGCAGGCGCGAAAACUUCACACUGCAGGAAACUGUGAUGAGGGAACUCCAAGUGUGUGCAUUUUAUGUACACUUUUCUGAACUCUUAAUCGGUUCAGGAAUAAGGGCUGGGAAAGACCGGUGCCAGCCGCCGCGGUAAUACCGGCAGCUCAAGUGGUCGUCGCUUUUAUUGGGCCUAAAACGUCCGUAGCCUGUUUGGUAAAUCUGUGGGUAAAUCAACCAGCUUAACUGGUUGAAUUCUGCAGAGACUGCCAGACUAGGGACCGGGAGAGGUGUGGGGUACUCGAGGGGUAGGGGUAAAAUCCUGUCAUCCUUCGAGGACCACCAGUUGCGAAGGCGCCACACUGGAACGGAUCCGACGGUCAGGGACGAAGCCUAGGGGCACGAACCGGAUUAGAUACCCGGGUAGUCCUAGGUGUAAACGCUGUGAACUUGGUGUCGGGGGUCCGCAAGGGGUCCCCGGUGCCGGAGUGAAGAUGUUAAGUUCACUGCCUGGGGAGUACGGUCGCAAGGCUGAAACUUAAAGGAAUUGGCGGGGGAGCACUGCAACGGGAGGAGCGUGCGGUUUAAUUGGACUCAACGCCGGGA